rnacentral:tRNA from 1 species
GAUAAAAUGGCUGAGCUUAGGCAGUAAAUUGUAAAUUUACUUACGAAUUAAAUUCUUUUAUCA